rnacentral:rRNA from 1 species
CAAUAGCGUAUAUUAAAGUUGUUGCGGUUAAAAAGCUCGUAGUUGGAUUUCUGCUGAGAACGACCGGUCCGCCCUUUGGGUGUGUAUCUGGCUCUUUCUUGGCAUCUUCUUGGUGAACGUUGCUGCACUUGACUGUGUGGAGCGCUACCCAGGACUUUUACUUUGAGGAAAUUAGAGUGUUUCAAGCAGGCAUACGCCUUGAAUACAUUAGCAUGGAAUAAUAAGAUAGGACCUCGGUUCUAUUUUGUUGGUUUCUAGAGCUGGGGUAAUGAUUAAUAGGGACUGUCGGGGGCAUUGGUAUUUGACUGUCAGAGGUGAAAUUCUUAGAUUCGUUGAGGACCAACCACUGCGAAAGCAUUUGUCAAGGAUGUCUCCAUUAA